UACAGAGGGAGCGAGCGUUAAUCGGAAUUACUGGGCGUAAAGCGUGCGUAGACGGUUAUCUAAGUCGGAUGUGAAAUCCCCGGGCUCAACCUGGGAAUGGCAUUUGGGACUGCAAGGCUGGAGUUUGGCAGAGGAGACUGGAAUUCCCGGUGUAGCAGUGAAAUGCGUAGAUAUCGGGAGGAAUACCGAUGGCGAAGGCAGGUCUCUGGGCUAUAACUGACGCUCAUGCACGAAAGCGUGGGGAGCAAACAGG
rnacentral:rRNA from 1 species